GGAGUUCUUGACUCUACACCAAAGCAGAGAACAGAGGUUCAGAAUGAUAUUUACAAUGGUGAAAAGAGACAAAGAGUUGAGAGCCAAGUUUGAAGAAAGGAAUGAACCUUAAUACAAAACAUUGGAGGAAGUCAUCUUCCACCAAAAGCAAUUAUUAAAGAUUCGGUCAUUUGAAGAAACCUUGUAUCUUUUCCUUCUCAAUUAAAAAAAUUAUCAGGAUUCUGAUGAGAUGGUGGCCAGAAUAUACAUCCCUGUUGCUCUGAUAUCCACUUCAAACACUGACCCAACCACCAACUACAUCUCCAGUGGGGGACAGGUGCUUGAACUGAAGAGUUUGUGACCCUGCAAGACCCUGACCCUGUCAAGCUGCAAGCUUAGGAUGAUUCUCAGUUCUGGGCCUGGAGGUUGGCCUGGGCUAAGGAUUUGAACUCUUUUAUUCCUAAAAGGAUAUUGGACAUCUAGGACCUAUGGAUCCUCAAGAGGAAAAGCCAUGCCAGCCCACACAUGUGAUUUUUUAAGGUAUUCAAUGUAUUUUUAAUAAGUGAACAAAGGAGGGAAGAAAUACAGGAGGGAAGAGAGGAAGGAUUAAUUUUUUAAUUAAAAAAAUCAAGUUCUGAGAUGACUUGUUUUAAAAAGACCAAAGCUUAUCUUUCUGACCACUACUACCAGCUCAUUUUCAAUAACCUUCCCCUACACUCGCCCCUCUGUCUCUGGGGCAGAGUGGCAGUCAUGUCCCACAAAGCAUUUCACCUCACAUGCCAUUUUAGGAGGAUUUGCUGAUCUUUAAGCCUUCUCCCUCUGCCUAUGAAAGCAGUAAUCAAGUUCUUCUUAAUGUUUGCUGAAGGGAUUGAAGAGUCUCCAAUUUUUACAUCCCUGUUUGUCAACAGUAGUACUUCCUACUGCUUUCAGGUUUUCAUCACUCUUAGG
rnacentral:lncRNA from 1 species